UUUCAUGGUGGCUGUGCGCAGGGCACCUCCGGGUGCGCCGGGUUCCUGAUUAACCGGUCGACUAACCUGCGUACAGCCGCCACCCAU
rnacentral:antisense_RNA from 1 species